UACGUAGGGGGCUAGCGUUGUCCGGAUUUAUUGGGCGUAAAGAGCGUGUAGGCGGCCAGGUAGGUCUGGUGUGAAAACUCGAGGCUCAACCUCGAGACGUCGGUGGAAACCGCAUGGCUAGAGUCCGGAAGAGGAGAGUGGAAUUCCCGGUGUAGCGGUGAAAUGCGCAGAUAUCGGGAAGAACACCCGUGGCGAAGGCGGCUCUCUGGGACGGUACUGACGCUGAGACGCGAAAGCGUGGGGAGCGAACAGG
rnacentral:rRNA from 1 species